rnacentral:rRNA from 1 species
CGGGACACGUGGUAUCCUGUCUGAAUAUGGGGGGACCAUCCUCCAAGGCUAAAUACUCCUGACUGACCGAUAGUGAACCAGUACCGUGAGGGAAAGGCGAAAAGAACCCCGGCGAGGGGAGUGAAAAAGAACCUGAAACCGUGUACGUACAAGCAGUGGGAGCACGCUUAGGCGUGUGACUGCGUACCUUUUGUAUAAUGGGUCAGCGACUUAUAUUCUGUAGCAAGGUUAACCGAAUAGGGGAGCCGAAGGGAAACCGAGUCUUAACUGGGCGUUAAGUUGCAGGGUAUAGACCCGAAACCCGGUGAUCUAGCCAUGGGCAGGUUGAAGGUUGGGUAACACUAACUGGAGGACCGAACCGACUAAUGUUGAAAAAUUAGCGGAUGACUUGUGGCUGGGGGUGAAAGGCCAAUCAAACCGGGAGAUAGCUGGUUCUCCCCGAAAGCUAUUUAGGUAGCGCCUCGUGAAUUCAUCUCCGGGGGUAGAGCACUGUUUCGGCAAGGGGGUCAUCCCGACUUACCAACCCGAUGCAAACUGCGAAUACCGGAGAAUGUUAUCACGGGAGACACACGGCGGGUGCUAACGUCCGUCGUGAAGAGGGAAACAACCCAGACCGCCAGCUAAGGUCCCAAAGUCAUGGUUAAGUGGGAAACGAUGUGGGAAGGCCCAGACAGCCAGGAUGUUGGCUUAGAAGCAGCCAUCAUUUAAAGAAAGCGUAAUAGCUCACUGGUCGAGUCGGCCUGCGCGGAAGAUGUAACGGGGCUAAACCAUGCACCGAAGCUGCGGCAGCGACGCUUAUGCGUUGUUGGGUAGGGGAGCGUUCUGUAAGCCUGCGAAGGUGUGCUGUGAGGCAUGCUGGAGGUAUCAGAAGUGCGAAUGCUGACAUAAGUAACGAUAAAGCGGGUGAAAAGCCCGCUCGCCGGAAGACCAAGGGUUCCUGUCCAACGUUAAUCGGGGCAGGGUGAGUCGACCCCUAAGGCGAGGCCGAAAGGCGUAGUCGAUGGGAAACAGGUUAAUAUUCCUGUACUUGGUGUUACUGCGAAGGGGGGACGGAGAAGGCUAUGUUGGCCGGGCGACGGUUGUCCCGGUUUAAGCGUGUAGGCUGGUUUUCCAGGCAAAUCCGGAAAAUCAAGGCUGAGGCGUGAUGACGAGGCACUACGGUGCUGAAGCAACAAAUGCCCUGCUUCCAGGAAAAGCCUCUAAGCAUCAGGUAACAUCAAAUCGUACCCCAAACCGACACAGGUGGUCAGGUAGAGAAUACCAAGGCGCUUGAGAGAACUCGGGUGAAGGAACUAGGCAAAAUGGUGCCGUAACUUCGGGAGAAGGCACGCUGAUAUGUAGGUGAAGUCCCUCGCGGAUGGAGCUGAAAUCAGUCGAAGAUACCAGCUGGCUGCAACUGUUUAUUAAAAACACAGCACUGUGCAAACACGAAAGUGGACGUAUACGGUGUGACGCCUGCCCGGUGCCGGAAGGUUAAUUGAUGGGGUUAGCGCAAGCGAAGCUCUUGAUCGAAGCCCCGGUAAACGGCGGCCGUAACUAUAACGGUCCUAAGGUAGCGAAAUUCCUUGUCGGGUAAGUUCCGACCUGCACGAAUGGCGUAAUGAUGGCCAGGCUGUCUCCACCCGAGACUCAGUGAAAUUGAACUCGCUGUGAAGAUGCAGUGUACCCGCGGCAAGACGGAAAGACCCCGUGAACCUUUACUAUAGCUUGACACUGAACAUUGAGCCUUGAUGUGUAGGAUAGGUGGGAGGCUUUGAAGUGUGGACGCCAGUCUGCAUGGAGCCGACCUUGAAAUACCACCCUUUAAUGUUU